AGUGCGGGGAAGGAUGAGAAGCUUCGACCAAGGUUCGAUUCGAGCGUAGCGAGAAAGCGUUGCCGCAGGCAACGACCCGAAGGGCGAAGCGCGAAGCGCUGAGUAAUCCUUCCCCCACCACCA
rnacentral:sRNA from 1 species